AAUAGAUACCCGGGUAGUCCAUGCCGUAAACGUUGGGCACUAGGUGUGGGACCCCCUCAACGGGUUCCGUGCCGUAGCUAACGCAUUAAGUGCCCCGCCUGGGGAGUACGGCCGCAAGGCUAAAACUCAAAGGAAUUGACGGGGGCCCGCACAAGCAGCGGAGCAUGUUGCUUAAUUCGAGGCAACGCGAAGAACCUUACCUGGGUUUGACAUGUACGGAAAAGCCACAGAGAUGUGGUGUCCUUUUGGGCCGUACACAGGUGGUGCACGGUUGUCGUCAGCUCGUGUCGUGAGAUGUUGGGUUAAGUCCCGCAACGAGCGCAACCCUUGUCCUAUGUUGCCAGCGGGUAAUGCCGGGGACUCGUAGGAGACUGCCGGGGACAACUCGGAGGAAGGUGGGGAUGACGUCAAAUCAUCAUGCCCCUUAUGUCCAGGGCUGCAAACAUGCUACAAUGGCCAGUACAAAGGGCUGCUAUACCGCGAGGUUGAGCGAAUCCCACAAAGCUGGUCUCAGUUCGGAUUGGAGUCUGCAACUCGACUCC
rnacentral:rRNA from 1 species